rnacentral:rRNA from 1 species
AUUGAACGCUGGCGGCAGGCUUAACACAUGCGAGUCGAGCGGUAGCACAGGGGAGCUUGCUCCCUGGGUGACGAGCGGCGGACGGGUGAGUAAUGUCUGGGAAACUGCCUGAUGGAGGGGGAUAACUACUGGAAACGGUAGCUAAUACCGCAUAACGUCGCAAGACCAAAGAGGGGGACCUUCGGGCCUCUUGCCAUCAGAUGUGCCCAGAUGGGAUUAGCUAGUAGGUGGGGUAAUGGCUCACCUAGGCGACGAUCCCUAGCUGGUCUGAGAGGAUGACCAGCCACACUGGAACUGAGACACGGUCCAGACUCCUACGGGAGGCAGCAGUGGGGAAUAUUGCACAAUGGGCGCAAGCCUGAUGCAGCCAUGCCGCGUGUGUGAAGAAGGCCUUCGGGUUGUAAAGCACUUUCAGCGAGGAGGAAGGUGGUGAGCUUAAUACGUUCAUCAAUUGACGUUACUCGCAGAAGAAGCACCGGCUAACUCCGUG